rnacentral:sRNA from 1 species
AACCUAACCCUACUAAUAUUAAUUUACUAGGUAUGGUUGAAAUUCGCCGAAAAACACAAAAACCCCGUCAUUAGGGUUUUGACGUUUUUCGGCGUUGCUAAGGGAAACCUUAGUAAGAGUAUGCUUCGGUAUAUUUU